rnacentral:rRNA from 1 species
GACAGAGGGUGCAAACGUUGCUCGGAAUUACUGGGCGUAAAGGGCUCGUAGGCGGCCAACUAAGUCACACGUGAAAUCCCCAGGCUUAACCUGGGAACUGCGUGUGAUACUGGAUGGCUUGAAUCCGGGAGAGGGAUGCGGAAUUCCAGGUGUAGCGGUGAAAUGCGUAGAUAUCUGGAGGAACACCGGUGGCGAAGGCGGCAUCCUGGACCGGUAUUGACGCUGAGUGAGCGAAAGCCAGGGGAGCAAACGGGG